rnacentral:rRNA from 1 species
GAUGAACGCUGGCGGCGUGCCUAAUACAUGCAAGUCGAGCGAACGGACGAGAAGCUUGCUUCUCUGAUGUUAGCGGCGGACGGGUGAGUAACACGUGGAUAACCUACCUAUAAGACUGGGAUAACUUCGGGAAACCGGAGCUAAUACCGGAUAAUAUUUUGAACCGCAUGGUUCAAAAGUGAAAGACGGUCUUGCUGUCACUUAUAGAUGGAACCGCGCUGCAUUAGCUAGUUGGUAAGGUAACGGCUUACCAAGGCAACGAUGCAUAGCCGACCUGAGAGGGUGAUCGGCCACACUGGAACUGAGACACGGUCCAGACUCCUACGGGAGGCAGCAGUAGGGAAUCUUCCGCAAUGGGCGAAAGCCUGACGGAGCAACGCCGCGUGAGUGAUGAAGGUCUUCGGAUCGUAAAACUCUGUUAUUAGGGAAGAACAUAUGUGUAAGUAACUGUGCACAUCUUGACGGUACCUAACCAGAAAGCCACGGCUAACUACGUG